rnacentral:rRNA from 1 species
AUUGAACGCUGGCGGCAGGCUUAACACAUGCAAGUCGAGCGAGCGGCGGACGGGUGAGUAAUGUCUGGGAAACUGCCUGAUGGGGGGGGAUAACUACUGGAAACGGUAGCUAAUACCGCCUACCAUCUGAUGUGCCCAGAUGGGAUUAGCUAGUAGGUGGGGUAAUGGCUCACCUAGGCGACGAUCGCUAGCUGGUCUGAGAGGAUGACCAGCCACACUGGAAUUGAGCAACGGUCAAAACUCCUACGGGAGGCAGCGGUGGGGAAGAUUGCACAAUGGGCGCAAUCCUGAGGCAGCCAUGCCGCGUGUGGGUAGAAGGCCUUCGGGUUGUAAAGCACUUUCAGCGAGGAGGCGUUACUCGCAGAAGAAGCACCGGCUAACUCCGUGCCAGCAGCCGCGGUAAUAC